GCAUUAAUGGGGUAGUGGUAACCUUGGUCGUUGCCAUUAGGUUAUUUCGACUAGCCGCGAGUUCAAUUCUCGCUUAAUGCA